rnacentral:rRNA from 1 species
UACGUAGGGUCCGAGCGUUGUCCGGAAUUAUUGGGCGUAAAGGGCUCGUAGGCGGUUUGUCGCGUCGGGAGUGAAAACACGGGGCUUAACCCCGUGCCUGCUUCCGAUACGGGCAGACUAGAGGUAUGCAGGGGGAGGAACGGAAUUCCUGGUGUAGCGGUGAAAUGCGCAGAUAUCAGGAGGAACACCGGUGGCGAAGGCGGUCUCUGGGCAUUACCUGACGCUGAGGAGCGAAAGUGUGGGGAGCGAACAGG